UAAAGUGCCCUAAAGAGCCGUUCGAGACUAGGACGUUGAUAGGUUGGGUGUGUAAGCGUUGUGAGGCGUUGAGCUAACCAAUACUAAUUGCUCGUGAGGCUUGACCAU
rnacentral:ncRNA from 1 species